rnacentral:rRNA from 1 species
UAGAACGCUAGCGGCAGGCUUAAUACAUGCAAGUCGAGGGGCAUCAAGGUACACGAAAGUGUAUUGUUGGCGACCGGCGGACGGGUGAGUAAUAGGUAGGUAACCUAACCUCAUACUGAGGCAUAGCUGGGAGAAAUUCCAGGUAAUUCCUCAUGAGGUUAUAUGACACAUGUGAUAUAAUCAAAGGUAUCGCAAGGUACUGGUAUGAGAUGGGCUUACUGACCAUUAGCUAGUUGGUGAGAUAAGAGCUCACCAAGGCGAAGAUGGUUAGGGGUUUUGAGAGAGAGAUCCCCCACAUUGGAACUGAGAUACGGUCCAGACUCCUACGGGAGGCAGCAGUAGGGAAUAUUGGGCAAUGGGCGGAAGCCUGACCCAGCCAUGCCGCGUGAAGGAAGACGGCCUUAUGGGUUGUAAACUUCUUUACUAUGCGACUAACUAGAUUUACGAGAUAAUUCUAUAGAAUGUAGCAUAGCAAAAAGCACCGGCUAACUCCGUG